UUGCUUGUCUGACAUUCUUCGAAUUAUCCCUAGGCCAUAUAAAACGCACUGAUAUCAAGCAACCACAUUAAAACUGCCCGAAUUACCAGAUAACGAAGGUUUCUCGUGGUUGUCGAAGACGUUGUCACAUGACUGUCACAUGGGCAGUAAGUUUCAAGAUGGCAGAUAAGUGGUCAGAACGGCCUGGAUACGACAACCCCGUGAUUUGUUGUCACCUGGGUUUAUCAGGGCCGUGAACACCCCCUGCUGCACGUGCUGCGUUUUCGAGUCUAUGUUUAGAUUGAAGCAGGCGUCUCGAUGACAAAGGUUAUUAUUACAAUAACAAGGGGAGCGCACGCUCUUGUCUACACGAGAAUAUAUAUAUUUUCUGACUUUGUUGCGUUUCAGUCGAAAACAGCCUGUGAUUUAGAUGAGAUAAUUGCAGUAACGGAAGAAACAAGAAGCGUAGACGAGCAGAGCGAUAAUAGCACUAGUAGAGAUAAGAGUCAUAAGAACAGUUAACACAAGAAGAAGGAAGCCAUUAUACAUGUAUGAGAACUCCUAAUCCCUGGCUGCAAAAGAGAACUAUUAUCAGCUUCAACACAUUAACACCUGUGAUGAACACAAUACUCACUUCAAUUUGUGAUAUUUAAGGAGAUAUUUUAUAGCUAUUUUACAUAUAUUGUGAUAUUAUUAAAAAGAACUCCACAUCGCCUAUGGAUGAUUUUGACUUUUCCUCUGCUUUUGGAAACGAUGCUGGCUGCGAUGAGAGACAAAGAGGAUAUGGCAGGCACCAUUCGCUAUCAACGACCGAGGAGGGAUUCCUCACACCUCAUGGAAGCGAUGAGGAUUUACGUGAAGUGGGAUCAAGUAAAGAUUCUGCGGCGCAACUUGGAAAAUACUCAGGCAAAGUUGAAACCAAAAAGGAUUUGUUGUCUCCAUUUAGGACCCUCAAUGUACCAAGUUUAUCCAAUGAUAAUGACAGGUCUCAGGGCAUAACCAGGCCAAUAAACAGGUCUCCUGGGGUUAAUAUUUUAUUUGGUAACAGUAAGGGAGACUAUGACAGAAAGCAACCUAAAAAAGAGGCUGCAAGUUUAUCUGAUGAUGCUCAGUUUUGUACCCCUCAGGAUGACUAUAUGAAAGACCCUAGAGUUCAUCAAAUGGGCCACUCUGCUUCCAAUGAUAUUUAUGCCUUCUCUACGCCAAACAGCAGCCUCCCAAGUUCAAGAACAGACACCCCUCUUUCAAUACAAUUUGGGACACCACAAAGCUUUCACAGUUUAAACCCAAACAACCCUAGCAGAGACAGUCCUGUUUAUUUUACAAAAAGCUCAGACACAAUACCUACUUCUACCAUAACCAAAGUGAAUGUGAAUGGACACAAUGAUGACGUAUAUGUGAGAGUCCCAAUCCCUUCUCCUCUCCCUUCUCUCGCUGCUCCAGUACAAAACAAUGUAGGUGGUUCCAGUUCUGCUGGGGGAGAAGAGGAGGGGGGUGGGGAGGUGGAGGUUAACACAGAAGAGGCAUUCUCUUUCAUGAGAAUGACCAGAGUUCAAAAGAUUAUAUUUGUCAUCAUGUCUCUCAGUAAUUUCGCUUCAUAUCUGUGUUUGUCAGUGCCAGGACCUUUUUUUCCAGAAGAGGCCAAGAAGAAAGGACUUAAUAACACACAAUCUGGAUGGGUUUUUGCAGUGUUCUCCCUGACACAGUUUUUAGUCUCACCUGUGUGUGGAAAGCUUCUGCCAGUUGUGGGCUCCAGGUUUAUGUUUUUAAGUGGCACCUUUCUGGGCGGAGGCUGUGUUAUAAUAUUUGGUAUGUUAGAUAAGAUCAAUUUCAACGAUGGGGGGAUGAUGUUUUUGGCAUUUUGCCUGGUGACCCGGAUCUUCAUGUCCAUUGGUUGCACAGCUGCCACCACCGCUGCCUUCGCAAUCUGUAUAAACUCAUUUCCAAACGCCGUUGCAACAGUUUUGGGAGUGUUGGAGACUUUCACAGGUCUGGGAAUGAUGCUGGGCCCGGCCAUUGGAGGCGUCUUGUAUGAAGCUGGUGGAUACAUGUUGCCAUUCCUGGUGCUAGGUAUAGUCAUGGUCAUCACAGUGCCCAUUACAUUUGUGCUUCUACCCAAACAUGAAGAUAAGGACCAGUCUUCCAAUGGCUCCAUGUGGCAGCUACUGAAGAGCCCCUCUGGACUGGUCAUCUGUCUGACCAUCAUGAUGUCUGCUAUAGUCUGGGCAGCACUGGACCCCACCCUGCAGCCGCAUCUUGAAGAUUUUGACCUGAGUGCAGACAUUAUUGGGUUGGUUUUCCUGUUGAGCUCAGCAUUUUAUGCCAUAACGUCACCAAUCUGGGGGAAAAUUGCAGAUAAGAUGUACGACAGUAAGCCCCUGGUCAUAGUAGGACUCCUCAUCACGGGGCUAUGUUGCUUACUCCUGGGACCUUCUCCUAUAUUAGGCUUUCCCAAAGACUAUCAUGAGUUGUGGCUGGACCUAGUGUCAGUGUCAGUAAUGGGGUUGUCAGUCAGCAUGUCAGUUGUACCGACCUUUGACCUCAUGAUGUGGGUGGCAGAGGACGCAGGGCUAGAUGAGAGUAUAGGGACAUAUGGUCUAGUAGCAGGGCUUUGGACAGCUGCAUAUGCCUUAGGAGAAUUUAUAGGCCCAGUAGCUGGUGGAUACUUUCUAGAUACAGUUCAGUUCACGGGGGAGAUGAACUUUAUUGCUUUGGGCUGUGCAGUGGUUUCUGUUUUAACCUUCCUUCUUUGGCUCUAUGAAAAGUUAUGCAAGAAAGGAGAGGAAGAAGAAGAGGAAGAAGAAGAGAAUUCUGGGAAAAAUGAGGAAGACACAAGCCCUCUUUUGACCUCUUAUGAUAUUCUCACAGCCUCAACCAAUACACGACCCAUGUUAAAUGUCAGUCAUUUGCCAUCUACUGGCUAUUUCCAUGAACCCUAGUCAGCCUUAACUGUAGGAAAAUGGUCUAUUUGAGUUCAACAAAUUGGCAUAUGGAGCCUGCAUGAGGUUGUAUUUUUUCCCAAAAUAUAUUGCUGGUGAAACUUAAAGUAGCAAUAAAUUGUUUGUCCCAGGAUUUUGAAAAUCUUCUAGUUGGACAAGAGGCUGAUGCUGCCAAUCCUUUGUUUUGUUCUUCUCAUCUUGAGGUUAUGGAGGAUUUAAAACUUCCCGUAACAGAAAAAAGGAGAGAUUUGAUUGGGAGAUGCUGUUCAGGAAGGCCUGUAAGGAAAAUGGUAACUGAAGAAAUUGACUUGUGAUGUGCUGAAAGCUACUAGUCUUGUCAUUUCAUGUGAAGGUUAUUACAUUUAUUUUGUGGAUCAAAGAAAAUUGCUGAUGGCCAAAGAGACAUUUAUGAUUAAAAUAUAAGCAACUGUGUGAUAAUUAGCUCUAUUCCCAUUGUAUACCUCUUAUUUAACUUUUCAGGCAUAAGUUUGAAUGUUGCCAAGUAAGAAGUCAGUUUCAAAAAUAUGAUAUGUUAUAUAUUCCAAAAGAACAGAACACGACAGAGUUUUGCCAAAGUAAAAUUACAUAUCUGUUUUAUUUUAUCAUAAAAUAAGGGGAUUUUUUUUAUUUUAAAGUUUAAUUUAAAAAUUUUAUGGAUAUUACUUUUAAUCACACUAGAUUAUUUCAUUUCAAGUAAUUUAACUUGCUAUGUAAUUUGAACAAAACCUAUUACUUAAUUUAUUGAGUUAUUCACAAUUGAUGGUUAUUGCUCAUUAAGAAAAGAUCUGUCAUAUAUAUCAAUGGAUUGAUAUUAUAAAAUUUUCUAUUUCAUUUUGUAGAUACUGGUAAUUUCAGAACUGAUAACAUAUUUUCAAAGGCAAUGUUAUCAAUUUUUAAUAAGUUCAAGGAAUGUUUACGUUGUUCUAGAAUUUGAUGCUGUAAAAAAAUUAUGAGUCGGUGUUGGUUGUUAGAGUUCUCUUAGUUGAUGUGAUAUAGCACAAGAAUCUUGUCAUUAUAUGAACAAAUUUGCAGUCCCAAAGUAUCCAAGAUUUGCAGUCGAUUGUAAUCAUAAAUUGUAUUUGUGUUCCUUAAAGAUAUCAUACAGUAUUUAUAUAUCCUGAUGAGUGGGGGUCAUUUAAUAUUUUCUCAUGAAUUAAACUAAACAAGAUUAUAGAUGAUAAAAGAUUACAGACCACCAUUGUUCUUAAUUCCCUGCAGUAGAAAUUCCCCUUGGUAAAAAUAAGGCAUAAUAACAAACAAAUUUAAUUCUUGAUUUUAAAACUUAAGUAUAAAUACAACAAUUUUUUAUCUCCAGUCAUCAUUUUAUUAAGGAUGAAAGGGAGUAAUGCUGCAGGAAUGUAUCACUGUGAGCAACUGCAUAAUUUUGUCAGAGGGAGAUGUUUGGAGGAUGGUGACAGAGAGAUUUUAGAUAGGGUGUAACGAAACUGAGGGUACGUGAAACAGAAAGUCUGCCCUCCAUUUAGUUAUAAUGGUUAGAGUUAGCCUGACCUAAGUGGGUUGAAAUGUAGGGCAAGUGAAUGUGACAUGGACUUUCUAUCAUACCGAACUUUCUGUCAUAUUACAAGGGCACCAAAGUAUCAAUGUCAGGUAUUUUUAUUUGAGGAAUUUUAUCAUUUUUAAGGUCUGGUUUUGGAAAAAUAAGUAGUUUUGCAGAUUAUACAAUCAUUAAUCCCAACUUUUUUCUCAUAUUUAAAAUUUUACUUUCAUCAUUUUUAAAGGAAACAUGCCAUAUAUGUGGUAUUCAAGAACAAAAAGUGUAUUACCUCUUGAAAUAUAGAUAGAAGGAAAAUAAA
rnacentral:misc_RNA from 1 species